rnacentral:rRNA from 1 species
CCUACGGGGGGCAGCAGUGAGGAAUAUUGGUCAAUGGACGAGAGUCUGAACCAGCCAAGUAGCGUGAAGGAUGACUGCCCUAUGGGUUGUAAACUUCUUUUAUAUGGGAAUAAAAUGUUCCACGUGUGGGAUUUUGUAUGUACCAUCUGAAUAAGGAUCGGCUAACUCCGUUCCAGCAGCCGCGGUAAUACGGGGGAUCCGCGCGUUAUCCGGAUUUAUUGGGUUUAAAGGGAGCGUAGGUGGAUUGUUAAGUCAGUUGUGAAAGUUUGCGGCUUAACCGUAAAAUUGCAGUUGAAACUGGCAGUCUUGAGUACAGUAGAGGUGGGCGGAAUUCGUGGUGUAGGGGUGAAAUGCUUAGAUAUCACGAAGAACUCCGAUUGCGAAGGCAGCUCGCUGGACUGCAACUGACACUGAGGCUCGAAAGUGUGGGUAUCAAACAGGAUUAGAUACCCUGGUAGUC